rnacentral:rRNA from 1 species
GAUGAACGCUGGCGGCGUGCCUAAUACAUGCCAGUCGAGCGAAUGGACGAGAAGCUUGCUUCUCAGAUGUUAGGGGCGGGCGGGUGUGUAACACGUGGAUACUAUACUGAUGAGACUGAGAUAAGUUCCGAAAACCGGGGCUUAUAGGGGAAGAUAGUUUGAACGGAUGGGUUCACCAGUAAAAGCGGAUGUUGCGGUGACAGAUAGAUGGAUCCGCGCUGCAUUAGCGAGUUGUAAAGGUAACGGCUUACCAAGGCAACGAGGCUUAGCCGACCUGAGAGGGUGAUCGGCCACACUGGAACUGAGCCACGGUCCAGACUCCUAAGGGAGGCAGCAGUAGGGAAUCUUCCGCAAUGGGCGAAAGCCUGACGGAGCAACACCGCGUGAGUGAUGAAGGUCUUCUGAUCGUAAAACUCUGUUAGUAGGGAAGAACAUAUGUGUAAGUAACUGGGCACAUCUUGGCGGUACCUAAUCAGAAAGCCCCGGCUAACUUCGUG